AACAUGGUCUCGGUCUCUGCAGAGGAAAGAUGAAACAGUGGGAGUGUGUGCUCUGCCAGCACCAU
rnacentral:lncRNA from 12 species